CGAAAAGGACUUCCUUAACAGUAAAUCCCAAACCGAGAGCUCAAAGAAGACGAAGCUCAUUGAUAAACACAUGAAUUACAUAUUUGUUACAUAAACCGUAUUGCAGAUUGAAAUUCCUCUCCAUCUGCAAAAGUAAUAGGGCAAAAUGGAUUGGUGGGGCAGUGCGAAAUUACCUGGAUUCCGUUUGCUUGUAGUGAUCUACGGAUUUCUACUAGAGUUUCAAUCCCUGUCAUGUCGAUUGAGGAGUACAUGUUCGACGGAUCCACAUUCGGAAUCGGACUGCUCAUCACGAACCCAUCUGAAAAUCCUAUUAAAAAAAAAAACCCCAAGGAUCGGAGUGGUUAAUCAAAGUCAUCAUGUUUGCAGGGGAACCAAGUUGAAUAACCAUAAUUCCAUGGACUCUAGUUGCAUUAGGAUAUUGUUCGACGUCUCUGUACAAACUGGAGUUUGGUAUUUUCCCGAGCUUGCAAGUAGCUGGUCUAGCCAUGUAAAGAAG